rnacentral:rRNA from 1 species
CCUACGGGUGGCAGCAGUGAGGAAUAUUGGUCAAUGGGCGGGAGACUGAACCAGCCAAGCCGCGUGAGGGAUGAAGGUACUGAGGAUCGUAAACCUCUUUUGUCAGGGCACAAAGGCGGGCACGUGUCCCCGUCUGAGUGUACCUGAAGAAAAAGCAUCGGCUAACUCCGUGCCAGCAGCCGCGGUAAUCGGGGGGAUGCGAGCGUUAUCCGGAUUAAUGGGGUUAAAAGGGUGCGCAGGCGGUAGGUAAAGUCAGCGGUAAAACCGCGGGGCUAAACCUCGGCCCGCCUUUGAAACUGGGGGUCUCGAGUGCGAGAGAGGUAUGCGGAAUGCGAGGUGUAGCGGUGAAAUGCAUAGAUAUCGCGCAGAACUCCGAUUGCGAAGGCAGCAUGCCGGCUCCCAACUGACGCUGAUGCACGAAAGCGUGGGUAUCGAACAGGAUUAGAUACCCGUGUAGUC